rnacentral:tRNA from 1 species
CAUUUCCUAGCUCAGCAGUCAGAGCAUUGGUGUGUAAAGUCAAAGGUCUAGGGUUCGAUUCCCGGCAAGGA